CCUACGGGAGGCAGCAGUGAGGAAUAUUGGUCAAUGGCCGAAGGGCUGAACCAGCCAAGCCGCGUGAAGGAAUAAGGCCCUACGGGUCGUAAACUUCUUUAGUCAGGGAACAAAGGGAGCCACGCGUGGCGCUGUGAGUGUACCUGAAGAAUAAGCAUCGGCUAACUCCGUGCCAGCAGCCGCGGUAAUACGGAGGAUGCGAGCGUUACCCGGAUUUAUUGGGUUUAAAGGGUGCGUAGGCGGAAUGCCAAGUCAGCGGUAAAAUCGCGGGGCUCAACCUCGCUCCGCCGUUGAAACUGGCGUUC
rnacentral:rRNA from 1 species